GGCUGGUAACUGAGGCACCUUCGCUGGUAGGGCGUGGUCGCCCAGAAGGGAGGGGUCGAGAGAGAAAGGGAAGACCCAGGCAGGGCGAGCGCCGUUCUUACAGCGCAGAACCGGGCUAAUUCCGGAGCAUAGCGUACUCCGCGGUGCGGACUUCGGCGUGGCGCAGACACCGCCCCGGGGUCGGAGGGUGUUGAGGGAGAACCUAGUUGCCGGAGACUUUUUCCGUAAGGCCUUUUCCCUGCCUGAAAUCUCACAUUGCUGCAGUGUCCCGGGUGUCAAGAAACCUUCAGGAGUACACAGAAGUUGUGCUUAUAGGAGGAGCAAUCUGUUUAAACCAUUGGCACUGCUUAGCACAGAACCACAGCCUAAAACAGGACAGAUGACAAGUGUCAGAAAGUCCGUGCACAGUUGGGAUAGCUUCUCUCUGCUAUCUGGGGCCCCAGAACUACCUGGGGCCCCAGCUGUGGAGAUUCAAAGUCUGGUGAUGAAUUCAUAACUGGGAGCUAGAAGCAUCUCGGGUUUGUUUACUCACAUGUCUGGUGUCUGAGCCUGGAGCACUCAAAAACUUGGACUGCUGACCAGAGCACCUACACACAGCCUCACCAUGUGGCAUGGCUUCCUCCCAGCUUGGGAGUCUCAGGAUAGUCACCUUAAGGCUCCAACUCCAAGCAUUCCAGCUAGCAGGUGGAUGCCAGAUCAUCACUUUUUAUCACCUAACCUCAGAAAUUACAUUCUUGCUUUUGCUGUGUUCUGCUGGUAGCAAGCCAGUCCAAAGCUCAGGCAGACUCCAAAAGAGUAGAACCAGACUCCACCUGUACCAAGGAAGGGGCAAAGCUGCAGAAGAGCCUGGAAGGAUGACAGCUAUUGUUGCUCUACUUGAGCACAGGAUGGCCUGUCAAGCCUGCCUUUCCAACAUCAACCAGAGAAACGUUGCAAAUCAUGGAACCCCUGUGGAAGAGAGAAAGUUGGGGGAGCUUAUUUGUUUGCAGGGUCACGUCCUACAGCUGGGUAGAUUAUACCCUUAAUAACCAAGGGGGUGACUGGGCUGAGAGCCAACUCCACUUGCUGUAACUGUGCCUGACUCUGGGGCUGUGUCACCGGGAAGAAGAGGCGCCUACUCUAAUACACGUAAGAUACUGCAGGGACAGGAGGUUUCCCUGGGUAGUAAAAGGUCAUUCCAUCCACCUUACACUUCUCAGAUCUCAGAUACCUAUUGAACACACGCCACUUUAAAGAAUAUUAUGUC